UGCAGGACCUAGCUAUAUUUACAGUAACUAAAUAUAGUGUAAUAUGUCUCAUAAUUUAGUGUUUUACCGCUUUAAGACCCUUGAGUGCAGAUACAUCGAUGAAGGAGACUGCAGAGAAAUCCAAGAUCAAACUGUGGAUUUUGACCGGAGGGACGGAGAUGUUGGCAGGCAGUUGUGAGUUCCAGUUCACCUGGAUUGGGAGAUCUGAGAAGUCUAUGGGCUGGUCAAGAUCCUCCAUACUGUUUUCUGAUGUGUCAACUGAUGGCUGUCUCAGUACAAGGCCCCUCUGGAUCAAGAAGAAUUCAAACGGAGGAACUGCAUGAAAGAGAGAGUUUCACCUGCGUCUUUCCUCCUGUACUCUCCUGUAUGGCUGUCCUAGAAAGUGCUGUGCUUGCGGCGAAUGAGCGGAAAGAUGCUCCAAACAUGUUGCUUAUUCCAAAGGCAAUGAGCUCCUGGUACAUACAGAACAACUAUUCGCCUGACUCAAUCCCGAGCUCUCUGCAUUACAAGUACAACACUGUACAAACCAAACACUCUACAGACUGACCACACUCCACAUGGAGAUAAACAGGUUCAAUCGCAGGUGUUUGUUGGAUCACUUACUGCUAUUUCUUGGAGUGCCAAUCCAUUGGACACACUGCUGCCAUUAAGGUGUUGAUACUGAUGACUUU